CAGUAGCCGCGGUAAUACGAAGGGGGCUAGCGUUGUUCGGAUUUACUGGGCGUAAAGGGCGCGUAGGCGGAUUUGUAAGUCAGGGGUGAAAUCCCGAGGCUCAACCUCGGAACUGCCUUUGAUACUGUGGAUCUUGAGUCCGGGAGAGGUGAGUGGAACUGCGAGUGUAGAGGUGAAAUUCGUAGAUAUUCGCAAGAACACCAGUGGCGAAGGCGGCUCACUGGCCCGGAACUGACGCUGAGGCGCGAAAGCGUGGGGAGCAAACAGGAUUAGAUACCCGUGUAGUCCCUGUCUCUUAUAC
rnacentral:rRNA from 1 species